GGGGAUUUAGCUUAGUGGUAGAGCACUUGCCUAGGAAGCGCAAGGCCCUGGGUUCGGUUCCCAGCUCCG
rnacentral:tRNA from 1 species